UCUAGAGGCUUCGGCAAUGGGGGCAACCCUGACCGAGCGACGCCGCGUGUGGGAUUGAAGGCCUUCGGGUCGUAAACCACUGUCAUUGGGAAAGAAUGCCCGGAUGGCGAAUCCGGGAGGGACGGUACCCAAGAAGGAAGCCCCGGCUAACUCCGUGCCAGCAGCCGCGGUAAUACGGAGGGGGCAAGCGUUGUUCGGAUUUACUGGGCGUAAAGGGUGUGUAGGCGGCUGCGCAAGUCUGGUGUGAAAUCUUCACCGCUUAACGGGAAGAGGUCACUGGAAACUGCGUAGCUCGAGUAUGGUAGAGGCAAGCGGAAUUCCUGGUGUAGCGGUGGAAUGUGUAGAUAUCAGGAAGAACACCGGUGGCGAAGGCGGCUUGCUGGGCCAUCACUGACGCUGAGACACGAAAGCGUGGGGAGCAAACG
rnacentral:rRNA from 1 species